GUGCCGUAUUUUUUUUCUUUACGACAGUGCUGGCAUGCAUCUCGGCGUCCACUGGUGGUGUCCAGCUCCACAUCCCAGCACUGUAGGUGGCAGAAUGCACCUCUAACUUGCUGUGUCUGUGUCCCAUCUAUAAAACCACUGAAGAAGAAUGAGACCCAGUUUGUGGUAUUGCAGACGUGCUGCUUCGGCGCAGAUCCCAUCCUUCAGUGGUCUGACAGCUGCUGUUUUCUGCAUCCGCCAGGGACCGAAGAGAGGGACGGCCGAAGAGAACCAGGGGACCAGGAGCAGCGGGGAGGACACCUCUGUCGAUAGCUUUGCGCUACAUCAACGCGGUGUGCCAGAAAGCUGGGAACCGACCGACUGUUGUAACAAA